UGGGGAAUAUUGGACAAUGGGCGCAAGCCUGAUCCAGCAAUGCCGCGUGUGUGAAGAAGGCCUUCGGGUUGUAAAGCACUUUUAUCAGGAGCGAAACGCUGUCGGCUAAUACCCGGCGGAACUGACGGUACCUGAGGAAUAAGCACCGGCUAACUUCGUGCCAGCAGCCGCGGUAAUACGAAGGUGCAGCGUAAUCGGAAUUACUGGCGUAAAGCGUGCGUAGGCGGUUUCUUAAGUCUGCUGUGAAAUCCCGGCUCAACCUGGGAAUGGCAGUGGAUACGUGGGAGGCUAGAGUGUGUCAGAGGGUGGUGGAAUUCCCGGUGUAGCGGUGAAAUGCGUAGAGAUCGGGAGGAACAUCAGUGGCGAAGGCGGCCACCUGGGACAACACUGACGCUGAGGCACGAAAGC
rnacentral:rRNA from 1 species